CUGUAGCCCCAGCGUUGCUGUCAAGUCUCCAUCACGGCCAUGGGCCUAUCAGGAUGUUGACUGUGCUUCUUUGGACAAUAACAACCCUUCCCUGGAGGCUCCCAUAGUAACACAGAUGUGUUGGAAGGAGCUGAAGGACAAGACUGCAAGGGACACUCAACUGGGUGGAUGGACCUUGAAUCCUGACUGUCAUUGUUCCAGUUUGAACAACCCCCUGGAGAGCUCCAGGUCCCCCCAGGAGUACCAACCUCAGCAUCAUUUUAAUGGCUUAACACCAAAACAACCAGCUGGAAAAAGCAACUGGAGUUGAGGACUGCUGCCGCCAUUCACCAGCACACACACAGAUGCCAGACCAAGAAAAACCCUGCCUUUCCUGGAACAGAACUUCCAGCUGUCCCUCAUGGCUGGAACUUGGAUGAGAACAACUCUUCUCCAUCUGCCAAACAGCACUGGGAUAACAUGGGCUGCCUUAGCAUGGACAAUGGGGUAACAGGUUUAAGUGAGGAGCAGGAUGAGAAUGAGCCUAGUGGAGACCAGGAGCCAUGGCAAGACCUGAGGACUAGGGCAGCUGAGGUAGGGUAUGUGGACACUGGCCUUGAGCCAGCCCUGCCUAGAAAUUGGCAUAGCCAGGGAUCUACAACGUCAAAUUGCCCGGAGGCAUAUUGCACAGACUAGGGGGAGAAGAAAGAAGCCUGGAGCCUAGGGCACAGAAUCCUUUGUGGACAGUGUACCAAGCUACGCUGGGAACGAAAACAGGCGAUGUUGGAAUUCAUUCACACAGAAGCCAGCUAUGGGGAGGACCUGCACAUCAUCAAGGAACAGUUUCAGUUGCCUAUGCAGUCUGCCAGACUGCUGAACCCCGGACAGCUGCUAGUUGUGUUCAGCAACAUCCAGGAGCUCAUUGAUCUCAAUGAGAGAUUUCUGGAGAGCCUGCAGCAAGAGAUUGCCCAAGCACUGUCACAGGGUGAUGACGACCUGAUGACUGUGUGCAUUGGUGAGAUCUUCCUGGAGUAUAUCAACAUGUUGCCUGCUUUCCAGACUUACUGUCUUCAGCAAGCAUUCUCCAUGAGCACUCUCAGCACCCUGGAGAAGGAAAAGGAGCUACUUCGCAUUUUCCUCCACGCCUCUCAAACCAACAACACGGCACUGAGACGGAUGAAUCUGCACUCAUUCCUGAUGGCACCAUUGCAGCGAAUCACCAAAUAUCCACUUCUGUUGAGCUGA
rnacentral:lncRNA from 1 species